UCCGGAGGGUGCUAGCGUUGUUCGGAAUCACUGGGCUUAAAGGGCGCGUAGGCGGGCGGUCAAGUCAAAGGUGAAAGCCCACGGCUCAACCGUGGAAGUGCCUCUGAUACUGGCUGUCUGGAGGGAGGUAGGGGCGUGCGGAACUUCCGGUGGAGCGGUGAAAUGCGUAGAUAUCGGAAGGAACACCGGUGGCGAAAGCGGCGCGCUGGACCUCUACUGACGCUGAGGCGCGAAAGCCAGGGGAGCAAACGGG
rnacentral:rRNA from 1 species